rnacentral:rRNA from 1 species
AUGGUGGGGGAACUGUCCACCAAGCGUCAUCAUGGCAAGACGUCCGACAAGAGCAGCAACCUCGAUGACGUUCACGUCCCCGGUGAGAAGCGCGAGUACACCAAAACUCUCAUAGGGGUUGAGAUCCAUGGCAAGGAGACGCUGGAGAUCGUCUACACAAACAAACCAGACAAGGCCGACGAGAUGAUCACCAUGCUCUAG